GUGCUCACUUUGGCAGCACAUAUCUUAAAACUGGA
rnacentral:snRNA from 1 species